UACUUGACUUUGAUUAGUUUAAGAAAACACUACUGCAAUUUGAAAAUUAUAUAAUGAAGUUGUUAUAAUAACGUAGUUCCUUAAACAUGGCCAGCUAAUUUGUUUAUGUCUCUCUCUUUCCCUCCCUUAAACAAACCCCUUCAACAACUGAAUCACUACUUAUUUUCCCUGGAAAAACAUGAGUGGAAGAAUCUUCGUCGUUAUAUUCUUCUCCUGGACUGCUCUUACAAUUAUUACCCCUACCCUUGUUCUCUGGUCAGAAUCCUCCAAACACAACUUUGAAUUCAAUCUUAAGGGAACUGAGGGGAUAAAGGGUCAUAGGAAAAUAAUUGGAUAUGGAGAGAAACAAGUCGGUAAUGGAACCAUAUCUGUGAGUCGAUUGGAAGCAGCAACAGAGCAACAGAAGUGGAGCUGCCUCUUGGAAUUUGGAGGCUGGGUCAUCAAAGUACUUCGAAAAGCAAUGGGUUUUUUUAUCAGGGUCAGAUUAAAUCAAUGAUGAACUAUACAAAGGAAGUGUAUGUUUUUUUCCAACUUUUACAAGAAAACGUGUAAAAGAAGAGGCAGACUUUCAGAUUUCUUACCUUGUACACAGAAACCCACUGCACAAAAUUUACAUAUUUAUUUAUUUAUUUUAUGAAUGUUUCGUUCUUUUGAAAGUUGAUUUCUAGUGGUAGGUAAACAGAUAAUGAAAAUCUUGGUAGAGUAGGUGAAGCUGAAUGACUGAAGGAUUUUAUGUUUGUCGACAAGUUCAGACUUGCCAAGCAGCGACUGGUAUAUUGAAUGCGGGUAAAAGUAAGAUAGAGGUAUUCAGAGUAAAAUUGCUUUUUGCUAUCUUUACUCAAAAACACAAAAAAAAUAAAAUAGUCAUUGUAGAAUAAGUUGAAGAGCAAAUUGGUAGUUGGCAUAGGAUAGUUCAUGCAGACUUAUAAUAUUAAUUUUUAAUCGUAAAAACUGAUGAAAUUUUUAGUAGAAAGACUAAUUUGCUCUUUAACCUAACGUUGAAAGACUAAUUUGACUAUUUUUUUAAAAAAUGUAAUAUGACUCUUAGUCAAAACCAUCAUACUUUUAUCAUUGAAUGUGACCCCUUUCGUUUUUAUGGGACUUCAAAAUAUACUGUGAUUAAAAGAUAAAGGAUGUUUGUCAGCGUUUAUUUAUAGGAGCUCCCAAGCUGAUUUGGCCCUCGUCUGAAUUUCCCAUUAUUAGAGUUGUGUGAUCCAAAUUCUAAGAGAUUGCUUGCAAGUCAAGUUAAACAAAAAUAUAUUUUCUUUCUAGAAGAUUUAGUAUUUAUUAGUAUAAUAUAUUUAGCAUUUAUUAGUAUAGUUUAUUUGACUUACUAAUUUAGCCUAUAAAUAGGAUCAUUUACAAUCUUAGAAAUAUAUCCAUUAGAUUAGAACUCAUAACACAUUCAGAGAAUUUUGUGUUUACGUUUUGAGGGUUCUUUAUUUUUCGGGUUUUCGGGGUUUAGUUUUUAUCUCCAUAUUUUGUACUCUUCAUUCUUUUGCCAUUAUAGUAAAAUUAUCUUCUCAAUUUCUUCUAUUAUUUUUACUUGUUCGUUGCUUAACCAGGACGAUCCUAACACCCAUGUUUGCUAGAACAAUUCCAAUCAAGUUUUCAAAUUCAAUGUUAAUAUGGGAAUUAUAUAAGCAAGUAGGCAAACAGAUUCUCUUCAUAUGUUAUAUAGUAAUUUAGAACAGUAAGGUUCACAUUCUGCUGAAUGAUAACAAGAAACUUACGCAUACACGCAUAUACCAGUCGGUGAUAGUUUCUCGAUUAUUGCUAAUAUUAGUUUAAUAACAAGGAGCAUAUGAUUCAUUUUCUUUCUCAAACCAAACGGCUCAGAUAUUCCUCCACAGUGGUAUAUUUCACAUCAGGGUACAGCUCAGAAGCCUCAACUCCGAAUGACGGUUCGAUCUCAAAGUUGGUAUGAUCACCCCUCACAAAGACUGAAUGUCUGAUUGCCAAUCCAACACUGUAUGGAAAUGUAGCCUCUGCAAGAAUUGAUGAAAACCAAACAACACCAAUUAGCCUUCACAUUUUGAAAAUGAAAUAACAAAGGAGUAAAUUGGUUUGAACUGGAAGAAUAGCCCGCUGGCAACAUCCUCUAAUUAGCCAUGGUUUUGAAUAAGAAAAACGAGCAGGGAAUUUCACCAACCUUUGAUCUGUUUGAGAAGUUGGUCCUCUGGAACAUAUGUUUUCUCAAGGGUUUUGCCAAUCAAUUUCUCCCACAAGGCAACGAUCUCAUUAAAUGAAUAGGUGUUUUUAGGAGGCCUAAUGUAUAGGAUCUUAUUCAAUGUUCUGGGGUCAUCAACAGCUUUGAUUGUGUAUGUUCCAAUAUCACUUUCAUGGUUGAAAACAGCUGCAAACAGAAUAGGAUGCAUCAUAUCACCUUAAUCUAUGGAUGGUUUAGGGCUUCCCUAUGUUAAAAUACUUGAAAAUGAAAAGAUGCUGAUAUUGAUGAGCUGAUAAGUACUAUUUACCUUUAGGAUCUCCAUCGCCUGGGAUCACCACCUUGUCUCUUGGGGGAAUAGUGGCUCCUGGCUGUGACAAAUCAGGAAGAAAAUAGCCUGCAAAGCAGUUACUGGACACAUAGGUGUAGGGGAUUCCCUCAGCCUCAAUAGCACGCCGGAUUUGAGCCUUGGUUGCAAAUGCUGUUUUAGCUGGCUCAACAGCAUGGACCCGGUCCACAUCAUUUCCGAAU